UACGUAGGAUCCAAGCGUUGUCCGGAUUUACUGGGUGUAAAGGGUGCGCAGGCGGACUGAUAAGUCAGGAGUGAAAUCUCGGCGCUUAACGCCGAAACGUCUUUUGAUACUGUCAGUCUUGAAUUAGAGAGAGAUUCGUGGAAUUCCGAGUGUAGCAGUGAAAUGUGUAGAUAUUCGGAAGAACACCAGUGGCGAAGGCAGCGAAUUGGCUCUAUAUUGACGCUCAGGCACGAAAGCAUGGGGAUCAAACAGGAUUAGAUACCCUGGUAGUCCAUGCCCUAAACGAUGAUCACUUGGUGUCGGCCGCAAGGUCGGUGCCGGAGCUAACGCGUUAAGUGAUCCACCUGGGGAGUACGCUCGCAAGGGUGAA
rnacentral:rRNA from 1 species